rnacentral:rRNA from 1 species
GCGCGAGCAGGUGCGAAAGCAGGUCAUAGUGAUCCGGUGGUUCUGAAUGGAAGGGCCAUCGCUCAACGGAUAAAAGGUACUCCGGGGAUAACAGGCUGAUACCGCCCAAGAGUUCAUAUCGACGGCGGUGUUUGGCACCUCGAUGUCGGCUCAUCACAUCCUGGGGCUGAAGUAGGUCCCAAGGGUAUGGCUGUUCGCCAUUUAAAGUGGUACGCGAGCUGGGUUUAGAACGUCGUGAGACAGUUCGGUCCCUAUCUGCCGUGGGCGCUGGAGAACUGAGGGGGGCUGCUCCUAGUACGAGAGGACCGGAGUGGACGCAUCACUGGUGUUCGGGUUGUCAUGCCAAUGGCACUGCCCGGUAGCUAAAUGCGGAAGAGAUAAGUGCUGAAAGCAUCUAAGCACGAAACUUGCCCCGAGAUGAGUUCUCCCUGACUCCUUGAGAGUCCUGAAGGAACGUUGAAGACGACGACGUUGAUAGGCCGGGUGUGUAAGCGCAGCGAUGCGUUGAGCUAACCGGUACUAAUGAACCGUGAGGCUUAACCUUACAACGCCGAAGCUGUUUUG